UCAAUAAGAUGGAGUGUAUAGGG
rnacentral:siRNA from 1 species